CCUACGGGUGGCAGCAGUGAGGAAUAUUGGUCAAUGGGCGCGAGCCUGAACCAGCCAAGUCGCGUGAAGGAUGACUGCCCUACGGGUUGUAAACUUCUUUUAUAAGGGAAUAAAGUGAGGCACGUGUGCCUUUUUGUAUGGACUUUAUGAAUAAGGAUCGGCUAACUCCGGGCCAGCAGACGCGGGAAUACGGAGGGACGGAGCGGUAUCCGGAUAUAUUGGGGUUAAAGGGAGGGGUGUGGGUUUUUCAAGUCAGUUGGGAAAGUUUGGGGGUCAACCGUAGAUUUGCCAUUGAUACUGGCAGUCUUGAGUACAGUUGAGGUAGGCGGAAUUCGUGGUGUAGUGGUGAAAUGCUUAGAUAUCACGAAGAACUCCGAUUGCGAAGGCAGCUUACUAAACUGCAACUGACAUUGAUGCUCGAAAGUGUGGGUAUCAAACAGGAUUAGAUACCCUUGUAGUC
rnacentral:rRNA from 1 species